GACGAACGCUGGCGGCGUGCUUAACACAUGCAAGUCGAACGGAAAGGCCCUGCUUUUGUGGGGUGCUCGAGUGGCGAACGGGUGAGUAACACGUGAGUAUCCUGCCCCUGACUUUGGGAUAACUUCAGGAAAAUGGGGCUAAUACCGGAUAGGAGCUCCUGCUGCAUGGUGGGGGUUGGAAAGUUUCGGCGGUUGGGGAUGGACUCGCGGCUUAUCAGCUUGUUGGUGGGGUAGUGGCUUACCAAGGCUGUGACGGGUAGCCGGCCUGAGAGGGUGACCGGCCACAUUGGGACUGAGAGACGGCGCAGACUCCAACGGGAGGCAGCAGUGGAGAAUAUGGCACAAUGGGCGGAAGCCUGAUGCAGCAACGCCGCGUGCGGAAUGACGGCCUUCGGGUUGUAAACCGCUUUCGCCUGUGACGAGGCGUGAGUGACGGUAAUGGGUAAAGAAGCACCGGCUAACUACGUG
rnacentral:rRNA from 1 species